rnacentral:rRNA from 1 species
AAUAGAUACCCAGGUAGUCCACGCCGUAAACGAUGAGUGCUAAGUGUUAGAGGGUUUCCGCCCUUUAGUGCUGCAGCUAACGCAUUAAGCACUCCGCCUGGGGAGUACGGCCGCAAGGCUGAAACUCAAAGGAAUUGACGGGGGCCCGCACAAGCGGUGGAGCAUGUGGUUUAAUUCGAAGCAACGCGAAGAACCUUACCAGGUCUUGACAUCCUCUGACAACCCUAGAGAUAGGGCUUUCCCCUUCGGGGGACAGAGCGACAGGUGGUGCAUGGUUGUCGUCAGCUCGUGUCGUGAGAUGUUGGGUUAAGUCCCGCAACGAGCGCAACCCUUGAUCUUAGUUGCCAGCAUUCAGUUGGGCACUCUAAGGUGACUGCCGGUGACAAACCGGAGGAAGGUGGGGAUGACGUCAAAUCAUCAUGCCCCUUAUGACCUGGGCUACACACGUGCUACAAUGGAUGGUACAAAGGGCUGCAAACCUGCGAAGGUAAGCGAAUCCCAUAAAGCCAUUCUCAGUUCGGAUUGC